CAAUAAUGUACAGCAAAGUAAGAACUAAAAAUAAGUCAGUAUGACCAAAAUAGUCAAUUGACCCCUUAAGGAGUUAUUGCCCUUCAUAGUCAAUUUUUAACAAUUUUCUUAAAAUUUGAAGAUUUUCAAUAACAUUUUCCACAGAAAGUACUGUUAUAGAUAGAGAUAAUUGUAAGCAGCAAGAAUGUUUAGUAAAGUAAGAUCUACAAACGCAUCACCAUCACCAAAACACAAUUUUGUCAUGAAUCCAUCUGUGUCCAUUGUUUAAUAUUCACAUAGACCAAGGUGAGC
rnacentral:lncRNA from 1 species